GGAAAAGGCCGCUCGCUCGAGAUUGCGCGCAGACCGGAUCUCACUACGUUGCCCAGGAUGGUCUUGAACUCCUGGACUCAAGCAAGCCUCUUGCCUCGGCCUCCUAAAAAGCUGGGAUGACAGGCAUGAGUCACCGUGCCCAGUCUUCAUUCUUUAAAUAUUUGGUAGAAUUCAUCAGUGAAGCCAUCUCAUCCGGGGCUUUUCUUUGUUGACAGAUUUUUUAUUACUGAUUCAAUCUCAUUCUAACUAUAGGUUUGUUCACAUUUUCUUUUACUUUAUGAUUCAGUCUUGAUAAAUUGUAUUUUUCUAGGAAUUUAUCCAUUUCUUCUAGGUUAUCCAAUUUGUUAGUGUACAGUUGUUCAUAGUAUUCUCUUAUCCUAUUUAUUUCUGUGACUUUGAUUGUAAUGUUCUGAUUUUGGUUAUUUGAGUAUUUCUUUUUUUCUUAAUUUAGCUACAGGUUGUCAAUGCAGUUACACUUUUUGAAAAACAAAUUUUGGUUUCAUUGAUUUCUCUGUUGUGUUUCUAUUCUAUAUUGCACUUAUCUCUGCACAAAUCUUUAGUUUGCUCUUUUUUUUUUUUUUUUGAGACGAAGUCUUGCUCUGUCACUCAGGCUGGAGUGCAGUGGCACAAUCUUGGCUCACUGCAAGCUCCACCUCCCGAGUUCACGCCAUUCUCCUGCCUCAGCCUCCCGAGUAGCUGGGAAUACAGGCGCCUGCCACCACACCAGGCUAAUUUUUGUAUUUUUAGUAGAGACGGGGUUUCACCUUGUUAGCCAGGAUGUUCUCGAUUUCCUGACCUUGUGAUCCACCUGCCUUGGCCUCCCAAAGUGCUGGGAUUACAGGCGUGAGCCACCGCGCCUGGACUGCUCUUCUUUUUCUAGUUCCCUAAUGUGUACAAUUAGGUUGAAAACUAUUCCACUUUUUUUUCUGAGACGGAGUCUUGCUCUUUCACCCAAUCUAGAGUGCAGUGAUGUGAUCUUGGCUCACUGCAACCUCCGCCUCCCAGGUUCAAGCGAUUCUUCUGCCUCAGCCUCCCGAGUAGCUGGGAUUACAGGUGCCCACUACCACACCUGGCUAGUUUUUGUAUUUUUUAGUAGAGACGGGGUUUUGCCAUCUUGGCCAGGCUGGUCUCAAACUCCUGACCUCAUGAUACACUCGCCUCGGCCUCCCAAAGUGCUAGGAUUACAUAGGAUUACAGGCGUGAGCCACUGCGCCCGGCGUGUUUUUUGUUUUUUUUUUUUUUUUUUUUGGAGACAGAGGUUCCUUUCAUUGCCCAGGCUGGAGUGCAGUAGCAUGAUCUCAACUUACUGCAACCUCUCCACUUACCAGGUUCAAGUGAUUCUUGUGCCUCAGCCACUCGAGUAGCUGGGGUUACAGGUAUGCGCCACCAAUCCUGGCUUACUUUUGUAUUUUUAGUAGACAGGGGGGUUUCACCAUGUUGGCCAGGCUGGUCUCAAACUCCUGACCUCAAGUGAUCGCCCACCUUGACCUCCCAAAGUGCUGAGAUUACAGGCUUGAGCCACCGCAUCUGGCCUAUUCCACUUUUUUAAUGAAUGUGUUUACAGCUAUUAAUUUCUCUCAGCACUGUUUUGCUGCAUCUCAUAUGUUUUGGUAUGCUGUGUUUGUAUUUUCAUAAAUCUUAAGGUAUUUUCCAGUUUCCCUUGUAUUCCUUCUUUGACCUAUUGUUGUUGUUUAAAAGUGUGUGGUUUAAUUUCUACAUAUUUGUGAGUUUUCCAGUUUUCCUUCUGUUAUUGAUUUCUAGUUUCAUUCCAUUGUGGUCAGAAAAUAUAUUUUGUAUUUCAGUCUUUUUAAAUGUGUUAGUGUUUGUGUUGUGGCCUAACAUACAGUCUGUCCUGUAGAAUGUUCCACAUAUACUUGAGAAGAAUGUGUACUCUGCUGCUGUUGGGCAGAGUGUGCAUAUGUCUGUUAAGUAUAAUUGGUUUAUAGAUUGUACAAGUCCUCAAUUUCCUAUUAAUCUUCUCUCUGGUUUCUAACCAUUUUUGAAAGCGUGUAUUGAAAUCUCCAGGUAUUCUUGAAUCACUCUUUUUCCCUUCAGUUCUGUUUUGGUUUUUAGGGUUUUUGGGGGGUUUUUUUGAGACACAGUCUCACUCUGUCACCCAGGCUGGAGUGCAGUGGCGUGAUCUUGGCUCAUUGCAACUUCUGCCUCCCCGGUUCAGGCGAUUCUCCUGCCCCAGCCUCCCCAGCUGGGAUUACAGGCGCAUACCACCACACCCAGCUAAUUUUUGUAUUUUCAGUAGAGACAGAGUUUUAUCAUGUUGGCCAGACUGGUCUCGAACUCCUGACCUCAAGUGAUCCACCCACCUUAGCCUCCCAAAGUGCUGGGAUUCCAGGCAUGUCCCACCGCGCCCAGCAAUUCUGUUGUGUUGGUUUUUUUUUUUUUUUUUUUUUUUUGCUUUUUUUGUUAGAUGAAAGAUGUAAGUGAAUGGAUAGACACUGCAUGUUCAUGGAUCGAAAAGACUCAGUAUUGCUAAGAUUAUAAUUCUCCCCAAAAUGUUCUUAGAUUCUACGCAAUCUCUAUCAAAGCUGUAGCAGUUGGCUAGAUGCAGUGGUCCACACCUAUAAUCCUAGCCUUUUAUCGGGCCAAGGUAGGAGGAUAAUUUAAAGCUGGGAGUUUGAGACCAACCUGGACAACACAGUGAGAGACCCCUAUCUCUACAAAAAUAAAAAUAAAACAACUAGCUGGGCACGGUGGUGCGUGCUUGUACUCCUAGCUACUCUGGAGGCUAAGGCGGAGGAUCACUUGAAGCCAGGAGUUCAGGGUUACUGUGAGUUAUGAUCAUGCCACAGCACUCCAGCCUGGAUGACAGAGUGAGACCAUAUCUCUAAAACAAACAAGCAAAAAACUGCAGCAGGCUUUUUGGCAAAAAUGAAAAAUGAAUCAGCUGGUCCUAAAUUUUAUAUGUAAUAUCCAGGAACAUUUUGAAAAAGAAGAACAAAGCUGGAAGACUUACAAUACCCAGUUUCAAAACUUACUAUAAACAGAUAGUAAUCAAGACAAUGUAGUAUUGGUGUAAAGAUAGACAUGUAUAAAACUGAGAGUUCAGAAAUUAUGGUCCAUUGAUUUUUGAUGAAGUAGCCAAGACAUUUCAAUGGAGAAAGGACCAUCUUUUCAACAAAUAGUAUUGGGACAAUUGAAUAUCCAUAUGCAAAAAAGUGAACCUAGGCUCUUACUUCACAUUAUAUACAAAAUGGAACUCAAAAUGGAUCUCAGACCUACAUGUGAGAAGUAAAACUACAAAAGUUCUAAAAGAAAACACAGGAGAGGCCAGGCGCAGUGGUCACGCCUGUAAUCCCAGCACUUUGGGAG
rnacentral:lncRNA from 1 species